UACGUAGGGUGCGAGCGUUUGUCCGGAAUUAUUGGGCGUAAAGAGCUUGUAGGCGGUUUGUCGCGUCUGCUGUGAAAAUCCGGGGCUCAACCCCGGACUUGCAGUGGGUACGGGCAGACUAGAGUGUGGUAGGGGGAGACUGGAAUUCCUGGUGUAGCGGUGAAAUGCGCAGAUAUCAGGAGGAACACCGAUGGCGAAGGCAGGUCUCUGGGCAUUAACUGACGCUGAGGAGCGAAAGCAUGGGGAGCGAACAGGA
rnacentral:rRNA from 1 species